rnacentral:lncRNA from 1 species
CGUCUUUUUUUCUUUAACUUUAAAAAUGAUUCGAUCGAACCCGAUGUAGGUUGCAUAUGUAUUCAUGUUCCACAUGAAUUAGACCAAGCAUAGUUCCAGAAAAAGUAAUGGACAAAUAAACUAAAAAUAAAAAUCUUUUUGAAUUUUUCAUUUAUAAUUUUUUUGGUUUUUCAAAUACAAAACAGGAAGUACUAUAACAAAAAAUUCGACAAUCUUAACUAGACUGAUAGACUCGAUACUACUGUACAAGACUAAAAAUUAAAAGACAACAUAAGAUAGACUAAAAAAUAAAAAGUUUCCUCAAGCAGCUCGUGCAUGCAAUGGUCUUGACUAGAAUGGUCCUAGGGUAUUUGUCAUGCUCAAACUCUAGCAAAUUGCUCCAUACCUGAAUAGAAAAAAUAAGAUCAAAUAGAGUUAGUGACUCAAGACACAUGUGACGCCACGACACCUUCUACUGGACACAUGCAAGGCAUGAUUAAGGCUAUUUUUGAAAAUUAACCUACGUGGCCAAGAGUGUCUAGAAGUGCAAACACAAUAAAGGUGACCUCAAAGACAUGGAAAUAUCUCACUAAGGCUUAUAUGGAUUCAACUCCCAAUAAUCUUGGCCCAAAAUCAAUUUGCAGAAAUAACCCAUUUUGCAAAAAUGGCCGAUAUGGCCAAAUGCAAACUCAAAAAGGACGGACCUUAAAGUAAUAUGACACCUAGUUGUGGACUCAAAAUCCUAAGACAUGGGUAGUUGAAUCACUUUACGAAAAUGAUCCCAUUUUGCAAGAAUGGCCGGUUUGCCCAAAUUGGCUACACAUGCAAGAUUUGGCUAAGACCCCGCAAAGCUUAGAACCUAAGACUCACUAGGAAGACCGGACCCUGUGUGGGUUGCCUACGUAUCGCGUUCCGAAAGACGAGAAUCAGGUAUGCAUAGUUCGGGAAGAUGAGACAUGGGAGAAAGCUUUUAAAACAAAUGCAACUAAUUAGGAAAAACUAUAUUUUUAUCUUUUUUAAAAAAUAAUGAAAAAUGUAAAUUCUUUUUGGAUUUUCUCUUUUUUUUCUUCGUAUUCUUGGCUUUUUUUUUUCUUAAAAAAAAGUUGUAUAAGAAAAAAAAAGUUGUGUCCUACUUGCUUCAUUUUAUACCUUUCCCUCUUUUCCAAAUAUCAGUCCGCCAAAUGACCUUUCUACCCUCAAAGAUGCCACAUGUAUCACAUAGGGAUGAUUGAAUGUCCUUUUGGGCCAUGGGCCAGUUUUGCCAUAAUUUGGAUAGGCCUCCUAUAAAGGGACACGGUGCUUGGGACCGAGCCCUGCUAGGUAAAUGACAUGAUGCAAAUAAGCAUGAUUUAAAUGCUGACCUACGUUUGAGAUUCACUAACAAGGCAAUUCGAAGGAGCGUAUGGUCGAUGGUGGCUGCUCAAGCUUUCCAUCCACUCCAUACGUCCGACGGCUCCCCCUCCUAAAAUAAGGGUGACUCAACAAAGAGUUCGUGUACACGACACGUACUCCGGGACUUGUUGCAAAAAAAAUUGAUCAGGUAAUACAUAUGAUGACAGUUAUAAAGCAGUAAAUACAUAAAAAUAAAACUGUAAACACAUAAACAACUAGCAAAUAAUAACAAAAUAUAUAACAUAAUAAAAAUCAAGUAAAACUAAUGAAAAAGCAUAAAAACCUCAAAAAAAUAUUCUAAAACGCCAACAAGAUCGUAGUAUCAGCUCGAAACUGCAAUUGUUCCCCAGCGGAGUCGCCAGAGCUGUCACACCCUUUUUUUUUAACCAAACUUCACUAAUUCUCUUAAAUAAAUAAAAAGAUUUUGUAAAGCUCGAAAAGGGUUUUCAAUUGAAAAGUGAUAAAAUUGUGUUCAAAAGGAAAUAACUUAGAGUCGCCACCUGACUUUGAUUUCGAUGUGCCAGGUCACCGUUUUAAAGAAAAAAAUAAAUUUUCCCUUUUAAAACAUUUUAGAAUCUACAACCAAGUCCGCACCAGAGAUUCGGUUAAGGGGGUUUAUUUGACUCGGAGAAAAGGUGUUAGGCAUUCCCCAAGUCCCGUAACUAGUACGGUUGCAUACUCGAUCUAGUUGGCUUUUAAGGAUAUUCGAAUUGAGGUAAAAGCACACAAAAGAAAAUAAACAAUCAAAAAAAGGCUCGAGGUUGUCCCACCUAAUAAAAGGAAAAUAAAACAAAAAUACUACGAAUUCUAUUAUCGAUGUUCAAAUACAAAUACUUCGGGGCAUACCCCAGAAUAAUAUAUAUAUAUAAAUCCUUCGGGGCAUUCACCAGAUAAAUUUAACUAAGGGAACAACCUCUCGCCUCGAAACCAACAAAAAUCCUAAGGCUUGCCUACCCAAAUGCGGUCGGCCUAAGCAUGCUCCUAGCGGACGGUGUAAUAAAAAUAAAAUAAAUAAAAUAAAUGAGUAAUUCAAUUCAUGCUCCUAUUCUUCUAACUUUCAUUUUUUGUAUUUGGCUAUGGGCCAACUCCUAAAGCAUGGUAACAAUUAAUUAUUAAUGAGCUUUGGCCUUUUCCAACUCCCCAUGACCUACUCUCAAGCAAAUUAAAAUAGACAACUAUAGCUUUCAAGCACACAUAUGGAAUCCAGCACAGAAAGGAACAAAACGAAAUAAUAACUAUAACUAUAAUGAUAAUGAUAAUACCAAACAUUGAAUUAUAAUGGAUGAAGUAAAAGAAAGUGAAGUAAAAUAUAAUAAGAGCCGUUUAAGACUUAAAACAAUUUUACGAUGCACUGCCUUGACAAGGACUUGCACAACCCACCUAAACAAAAUCAAAUACUCCCAACACUAUCCAAAGAAAAUGACUCGACAGAGGUCGACAUGGACCUAAUCAAAACAUCAAAGUGAUUAUUUUACUUUUAUGAACUAUUAAAAAAGAAAUAAAAAGAAAUCAUAAACUAAGGAGGAGAGUUUUGAUGAGCUGUUUAACCAAACCAUGUUUUGACAUUCGCUCCGCAUACAAUACUACACAGUUCAGCAAAUUGUAGGCAUGAUUAUAAAGGAGUAGUGAUAUAACUACUUGCUAUGUGAAAAUUUGUAAACUAACAUAUGCUAAAGGGUGAUAUAAAUACGUAGAUAAAAUUGAAGAAACUAUAGGAAAAAGUAUUAUGGAAUCCGGAUAGAUGAAGAACUACACAAUAAAAUAUUUAGACACAAAAUCAAUCAAACAAAAAAAAAAUCAAAACCACAGAGAUUACAUCAAAAUAGCCCAAACUCACUAGCCCAAAAGCUAACCAAAUUUUACGGAUUUGAUCCCCAAAUUUAGCUUUCUAAUUUAUAUGGAGUCAAGCACAACAACCAUUCUUAAACGGCUCCAUUAUAUUUUAAUUUCACAGAAAAUAGAUGGAUCAUAGAGGAGAGUAGUGAGAUGGACCUGACAAUGUUUAACAAUUAAUUUGGUGAAAAGUGCGAUUACAAGAUAGUCCGGCGACGAACUCAUACGGAACUGAAAUGGCAACAGGACACUCCGCCUCGAACCUCGAACGACUACCCACGAACAACGUUUUCGAAUCAGCCGGCCUCCGCAAUUAAAAAUCCAAAACUAAAAAUAGGAGGAGGAACAAAAAUAUAUAUUUUUUUGGUUUUUGUUUUGUUUUUUUUUUUGAUAAAAUUAGGACACAAAUUAACCUAACAAAGAAGCCUUAUACUCUCUUCUUUAUGUGUGCAUUUUGUGAAUCACAAAGAACAGACUAUUGGAGAAAGAAGACUUUCCGAAAUGAAACCGAGAAGAAACUCUCUUUUCUUCAAAACAACCCUAGCUUUUUUUUCUUCCGAUUUAUGUCCGAAAAAAUCCCCUCUCCUUCCCGAUUUUCCCCCUCUUUAUUGUGCCCCAAAUAAUGGUUAACUUUUCUAUUGUCUUCCACUCACUCUCUUUUUUUCCCAAAAAUCCUCCCUUCCUCUCAAAGUGUUGUCCCCACUCAAACUUUUCUCCUAAAAAUCCUCUCUUUCACUCAAUGAUGUCCUCCACUUUCUCUCUCUUGAUUUUUAUGUACGCGAGGCUAGAUUAAUUGUGUGUAUGCAGAUUGUGAGUGUGUGCAUUGUGAGGAAUCUUUUUUGAGUACUUAAACUUACUUGGUAAAAGAAAGAAAAGGAAUCUUAAGAAUAAAAUAGAGGUAGGUAAUAUGGGUGAG